rnacentral:rRNA from 1 species
UACGGAGGGUGCGAGCGUUGUCCGGAAUCACUGGGCGUAAAGGGCGCGUAGGCGGCCUGAUAAGUAGGGGGUGAAAUCCUGCGGCUUAACCGCAGGGCUGCCUUCUAAACUGUCAGGCUGGAGCACAGUAGAGGCAGGUGGAAUUCCCGGUGUAGCGGUGGAAUGCGUAGAGAUGUGGAGGAACACCAGUGGCGAAGGCGGCUUUCUGGUCUGUAACUGACGCUGAGGCGCGAAAGCGUGAGGAGCAAACAGG